CAACAAAGAACACUUCCUCUGUGCUAGCAAGGCUGCAGUAAAUUGCUAUUAAAACAAAUUCAGCCUCUUAGUUGCUACCAUCUUGCCAUUAGGUAAAGUUCCAGGGUCCUAAUCAGGAUAUCACAUUGUAUUUACUAAGGAUGUCUCCUCAGACCCCUAUUGGCUGUAACAGAUUCUCAGUCUUUUCUUGUUUUCUAUGACUUUGCAGUUUGGAGGAGUACUAGUGAGGUUUUUUUGUAAAAUGUUUUUCAUUUGAGUUCUCGUGAUACUUUUCUCAUGGUUACAAAGGGGUUUGAAGUUUUGGGGGAGGAAGACCACAGAUUUCUGUUAAGAUUCCUGCAUUUGCUCAAGAUAUUUUUUCUUUUCUAUGAGUAAAUUCAUGCUGAGAGAGGAAAGAGGAGAUCAACCUGCUAAUAGAAAAAGAUGCUUUGGUACUUCAUGAAAGAGAAGAUUAAAACUCCAGCUUUCUCAUGGGUGACAAGGAGUGAAGAUUGCUGCAACGCCCAGUGCUCAUGUUGUUUGGGGGCUGAUUAGAAAGCAGAAUAAAGCCAGUAUGGAGGCUUUUCUCUGUAUGUCUCACAGAACCAGGUGUGACUAAACAGGACUGUGAGCUGGCAAUGGAACAGGGCCACUUGGAGCUUGUUUCUAUUCUGUUUUACAAAGUCUAAAAACCACUCUGAAAGACAUAUUCACCCUAAAGUAUAGUGGAAAGUUGAGCAGGCAAUUCUUGAAUUAUCUAGCAGCUGGGAUCUCAAAGAAGACUGAAGGAGAGAGGCUAACAAACUAUGAUAUCUGGACUCAUUUGCAAAUUGACUUCAAAUUAGAUUCUUCCAAAGAGCUGCUGGAAAGAUACUGA
rnacentral:lncRNA from 1 species